rnacentral:lncRNA from 1 species
GGCCACAUUUAGUAUAUUGACAGCUUGUUUUUAUAAAUGGAUGUCUAGGGGUAAGUUGAUACUUAUUUUUGGUUAUACACACAUCAUGCACAUUGAGUAUUUAAAUCAUAAAUAUCUAAUCCGUUUCUUUACGCAAUAUAUACCUUACAUACCAACAUUUUGUUAACGAUUAAAAACAAUCUUGGAAAAAGGUUCAUAUUAAAUUAUAUUUCAAUCUGAACAUUCAUAGAAUAAGAUAUCUCUAUGAAAUAUCCUUACGAACGUUUUUUAAGGAAAAUCUUAAUAUAAGGGACUGUUUCAAACACAUAAAAGUCAAUAAUUGCUGUUUUUGAAUUAUACCAUCCGCCUUGAGUUACAAAUUUACUACUUUGAAUUAUACCGACAGAACAUUUUCAUAAUAAUACUUUGCAUAUUGUCAGUAAUGCAUGAUGCAGUCACAUUUAUUUGUUUUAAGAAAAAAUCCGGAGAUAUGAAAACAAUUGAUUUUUAGUGACAGCCAUGUUUUGAAAAAUAAGAGGAAACGCUGGUAUUCUAAAUUAUUGCGAACAAAAUUGCGUAGUCAUUUUGUGCCAGUAUUACUAUGUUAGCGGUUUAUUUUUUAUGAUCCUGUCCAAAGUCAGACGCGUGUAGUCAAAUGAUUGACGUUUGUUCAUACCGUCAUAUUUUAGUUAAUUAUUUUGUUAAAAAAUAGGACGUUGGUUUUUCGCGAUUAUCUAAUAAUAAAACAACAUUACUUACAAAGUUAAAAUUUAUUAAUAUUUGGAUUGACACAGAUAGUUCGGAAUAUGGACAAUUUUUUUUUGUAUGAGAGGCACUGUUGCAUUGACUACAUUUGCGUGUCGCCUGAUUUAGACGGGAACGUUUGUUGGAAUCUCAAUAACACUGAAUAAGAUUGAUGGUGUGAUACUGUUCUGGUAUGUUCUGCUAAGCCAUGGACACUGAAUCUCUUGAAUUUGGUUGCAUUUUAGAAUUAAUAGGAAGCACAUAACGUUUAACGGUCUCGAGAUUUGUAUUUUGUAUAAGUUCUCAGUGAGAGGACCCUUUACAACAUCACUAACUUUUGAAAUAUGCCUGCAUAAGGAGCAUAAAUCUCCUAAUUGAUAAGAUAUUCCCGGACUUUGUAUUUCCUAUCAUGAUGCCCUUGAUGGAGGGUCGCUACUCAAAAGGAAGCUUUUAAACCAAGAGUUCCAAAUGGUGAAGUAAAAAUCAUCCCUUCGUAAAUUUUAUGGACGUCAUUAAGAGUUGCUUGACCGUUAUGGAAUAACCGUUUCACAGAUGAUAUCGGAUAUGUUCCCUACGUCGCAACUACAAUCCCGUUCCCGUUAAAUUUGUUAUAAAAUGAGGAACACGACGGGUGUCACAUGUGGAGCAAGGUCUGCUUACCCUUCCAGAACAUCUGUUAUCACCCCUUGUUUUUGGUGGGGUUCGUGUUGCUUAGUCUUUAGUUUUUUAUGCUGAGUCAUGUGUACUAUUGUUCUGUUUGACCUUUUCAUUUUUAGCCAUGGCGUUGUCAGUCUAUUUUCUAUAUAUGAGUUUGACUGUCCCUCUGGUAUCUUUCGUCCCUCUUUUAUAACCACUGGGUCGAUGUCCCUGCUUGUGGACAUUUUGUCCCCGAGGACAUCAUCCGUCCAGUAGAAACAUUGCAUGCAUUUACAAAGAUCAAACAGGAUACUGGCUCGGACGUCGCCCAGUAUGAAAAGAUCCGAAAAAUACGUCACCAUUAACACGGUGUCGUCUGAUACGGAUGGUGUCCCCUCAUCACCAGACAUGACACAUAUCUCAAACAUGACUCAUUCAGAUCAUCAUACUAGUGACAAAGCAAUAUUACACAUAAACAGCCAUGUUCAGUUCUCCUAAAAGACAUUUUGGAUUUUGAUGACUCUGAAUAACACUGCUACAUUCCGAAAUGCGAGACCAAAUUGCUGCAAAACUUUAAAUUUUAAUAACAGAUGCUGAAUUCACUAGUAAUUUAACUAAGAAGUCAUAUUUUACCAGAAGUUACGAUGAUUUGAAUUGAAAAUCGACAAAUGUCGUCUACGGAUUAUAGUGUAACCUUUGCGGAUUGGUAUACGUCGGUGAACCGAAAGAAAGGCUAAACAAACGUAUGUGCGGUCAUAUAUUAGACAUUAACCUCAAUGCAAGCAAAAUUCUUUACGAGUAUUUUAAUCAGCUCAAUCUAUCGAAAACAAAAUAUACCAAAGCUCUAUCAAUCGUCAUCUCGGUAGACACAUAGAGGAUUACUGGAUUAGACAAUUGGGAACUGCGACACCAUAUGGUUGCAAUGACAAAAUUGAGGGUAUGGGUAUCUUAUCUUGUCCUUCGUGUAGCUCGAUGAAUAUGAUGAAUAUUUUCAACUCUACUCCUCGACGUAGGCGCAGUCAUGGUCAUUGUCAUUAUACUUCUACUACUCUGCAUGAUGUCCAUAUCAAUGACCUCCUGUCAUAUAAACAAAAGUCGGUAGGUAUUCAUCACAUUCGCACGAAACUUUAUUCAUUACCCCUUUAAAAAACAUCUUUCUCUGUUCAAUUUAUGUUUGGAAACCACAGUUACAAACCCUCAUUCAAAUCAAUACAAACUUACAGCUAAAAUUUCGGAUAUUGCAAGUCACAGACUUUUCACACCAGUCCGCAUAGGAAAAAAAUGAAAAAGAGAAAAGAUCUUUCCUAAUCUGUCUUUUGCCAACUAAGGUGUCGAUGGAACCAACUUAGGCAAUAUCCUUCAUUAUAAAUUAGUACAAUCGAAAUGACCUUAUUUUAAAAAUCAGUCUGUACCAAUCAUAUUUUAUAUCUAUACCAAACAUAUUGCAACUAAAAUUUUCAAUUACAAACACGUUUUGCAGGAUCUCAAUUUUGCAGGAUCUCAACAUUGACGACUUGAAGUCUUAACCUCCUGAUUGUACUUGUGCUAGUUCCCAAUUCACAUAUAAUCCGGCUGACCACGUUAUUACCCGUGACCUCAACAUUUUCAAUAACACUUUUCUUCGAAAUGUGUUAUUGAAAGGUUCGAAAUAUCGUGAGCCUAAAUCCAUCAAUUUGAAAUACAACUUCAAAAUUUUGAUGGAUUCAGUCGAGGAGUAUCCCAGGCAAUAGGCUAAGCGCAAGAAAGAAGACGUAGCUACUCUUUCCGAAUGGAUUAAGGCGGCGAGGUCGUUGAUGCAAAUCAGAAUUAAGAAACUGAAUGGGUCUAUUAAUGCCCAUGCUAUGUCAAACUUUAAAGAACCAAAUCUUGCACAACACUUAUCCUACCUCCAUGACAAAUAUAGUGUUGUUCCUGCAGAUAAAGCCCCAAACAACAUCGUUUUUGUGAGCAAAACUCAUUAUAUUAACUGCUUGAUAAACGAAUUAGGUAUUCACAAUUCACUUGGAAACUCAACAUAUACCCUCACGACACUUACCGAGGAGAAAAUCCUUGAUAAUCAUAGAUCUGUUAUAUGAUCUAUUGGAAUGACAACCAAAGAUGAAGAACUGGAUCUUCCAUCUCUGUAUUGGAUAUCUAAACAUACAUAAAUGUCCUUACAAACAACGGUAUAUUGCUGGGUCUUCCAAGUGCUCCACGAAACUCUUUCUUAAUUAUUAACAUAUAUUUUAUCAGCAAUCAAAGUCGGGCUUCAAAGUUAUUGCGAAACUUCCUUUUCUAGAGGUGGCGUGAAUCAGAUGAAGAUACUAAAAAAAUCCUUUUAGGAUAUUUUAACGUCAUGGUAACAAGGGGUGUCAGACUAGUACUGGCUUUUGGUUAAAUGCCUUUUUCAUUCUUUGUCAUGAGUUUAAACAAUCCACCACAAGAUUAUUUGUCUUACAAUAAGCACACGUCAGUGACUUCUUUUCAAAGGUAUCUAAUUUCAACUACACUGAGUGCUCUUCUGUACAAUAUGCUUAUUAAUAAGUACUUUCAAUUUUGUUAUGUCCACUCUAAGAAGUAUAACUUUAACCUUUUACACUUCUUUUAUGUGAAAGGGUACAAUUAUAGGGUCAAGAAAAACAGAAACAUCAAUACAUAGGUCACAUCCCAAUUAUGUAAACAUUUUGUCAGGCCAGACACAGCAAAGUAGACCCAGAUUGAUAAUCAUACUAGUUAAAAUCGCAAAUGAUGGUACAUGUAUACAUUUAGUGUAAAAUCUUAAGAUCGUGUAAUGCCAAUUAGAAAACAAACGAUGUUAAUGAAAUCUUUCAAUCCAUAUAUUGUUUAUCAAAAAGCGAGUACAUUUUUAAAAUUGAAAAAAAUAUUACACAAAUAACCAUAUAUUGUUCGUUUGUUAUCAUUAUCUAUAGGUUGAAUAAUAUAUCAAUAUCAAACUGAUUUUUCUGUGAUUGAACAUGUUAAUGGUAAAUGUAAAAAUGUUGAGAAAAAUCAGUGGAAAAAAAAAAUAAUUCGAUUCCAAAUAUGUUUGCCUAAAUAAUGCCAUGUGAAGUGAUUUUUAUUAAGACAAUUAAAAUUCAAAUAGAUCAAUCGGUACAAUUAACUUUAAAAAGUCGAAUCAAUAUUAAAUUCAACUUAAAUUUUAAAAACAAAUUAUUAGAAUAGAAUACUUGUUUUGUUCCAUAGCUGAAAAAGCAUGUGUCAUCAUAGGUUUGAAAAUUCAUAAAUAUCUGUUUUUAAAGUACAUUGACGAUAUUUCUAAAAUAAUGUAAUUUGUAAAACUACCGGUAUUGGAGAUAAGUUUGUAUAUAUGAUCGAUUUCACCCUUUUAUCAUUGUAACAACCGUCUUAUAGUGCACAUGGUGAAAUUGUGUUAACAAUUACCAACCUAUCCCGGACCGUCAGAAAUUUUGUUCUGUGACUUUUAACAGUCUUAAUUAUCCUUUUUCAUUCUCAAUUUUAUUAAUGACUGUAUCAAUGUUUUGGUAGUAGCUAUAUAAUAAAGAUUGUUGCAUAAAUAUUUCAACUGUAAUAACCUUUUCAGUGGUUAAAAUGUCUAGUUAUGACUGGAAUGCCAAAAACAAAAAUGUAUGCAUCAUCAUAUUCAUGAAUAAAAAAAAUAUUGAUCUACAAUUUAUGUUACAAUCAAACUUAGGUUGUAUACCAUUGUAUCAUACAUUGACCAACCCAAAUAUUUUCAGACGAUGAAAAGGAUAGCACUUGGUUGUAUGAAGUCCUUGAUAGUAUUGGCGCGAACGAUGAUUAUAGGAAGACCAUUCAAGAAUGUGGCAUUACGUCCGAGAUUAUUUGUACCUUUGGAUCCGAAAAUAAAAAGAUGGCCAAUUAUGGAGUUGGAGGUAAAUGGGAAGGAACAUUAACACCAGGU